GGGGAGCCGCCGGAGGGCAGCUGGGGCUGCGGAAUUUUGGAAGCGCAGAAGUUUUCUCCUCCUGUCCUGUAACUGGUUUUCACUCACUCAACUGAGAGAUUUCUUUGUUGCAAUGAUGGGGUCUAAGAUAACACUUCUGGAGGCUGCAGGCGAGAAACACAGCUGAUAUCAUCUUUUAUUGUGUGUUGUUAUUUGCCUAGCAUUAUAAAUUAAGGAGGAAUAGUAACAAAGAGCUUGAAGACAUGCACAGCUCACAGGCCCCGGGUGGAGGCUGGCGACAUCAGACAGACAGAACCAAGACAUCUGAGGGGCAACCAGGAGGUGCGUGUGGCUGCAGAGCACACAGACUUGUCUUUGGACAAAAUUGAGAAGAACUCAUAAACUUGGCUUCCUCGCUUCUGCUCCUCAGACGCGCGUGGAUGAUUUGAAGAUAUUAGCCUAACAAGAUGGAAGCAGGUUUAAAAUUUUACAUAAGAAGUUACCUUUUUCAGCUGGUCCUAUAGUACCCCUCCUCAGGAAUGUCUCCCCAGUGCAAGGACAAAGACUGAAGAGACUGCUAUAUUGAUGGACUCUCAAGCCAACUAUGAAGUUGAAACAAAGAAAGUGAUCACCUGAAGACACCUCCUCUGCUAAGAAACACCCCCAAAUUGUGCAGCUUCUGCCACUAGAACUCUCAGAACAAGAGACAAUCUUUUCAAGAAACAGAAAAACUCAAUAAUGACAUCUAGAUUUUCAUGAGCCAAGAACUUUCCCUUCCUCAUGUGUAUUCCUCUGUUUGUACUUAAAUUCAUGUGACAUUCAUUUUUUUCCUAGUAUGGAUAUGCUUAUUAAUGCACUUGUUUCAAAAUCCCAAAUUGCACAAAUGUGUUAAUAUUUUAAGAAACAAAAUGAAUCCUACAAGGAGAAUGAUUUUUAGCCACACAUAGGGUUGGAUCUUGAGAGUGACCUACAGAAUAAAAGUACUUUUAAAAUAAAGUAGUCAGAGGCUAUUCAAAGGGUAAAAUAAUCAUAGUACCACAUUGGUCCACUUGACACUAACCAAUCGAUCAUUUUUUUUUAAUCAAGAAAGCUAGAUUCUAUCAGAUAAAAUCACUGCUUCUAAAGAGUUUAAAUCUAGUUAGAAAAAGUUAUAGAAAUGUUUGCAAAGAUAAGUAACAGAUAGAGUCAGUAGAGGAUAAGAUCAAAAACAAAACCAAGCAAAAGAUGAGUUCAGGGGAGUUUGCCAUCAAGUUGGCAAAACUGACUUACUUAGGGAAGAAAGUUAUAAAACAGGAAAAUAUGAGAUGAACCUUGAGUGAUGUGGAAGAUUUAGAUAAAUGGAAAGGAAGGAGAAAAUGGAGUUCUUUAGGUGGUUGUAAUUGGAGGAGGAAAUGAAUACACACAUCUUGUUGACUUAAACCCAGACAUUCAGCAGCUCUCUAUACAUAUCUGGAAAAGACUGCACAGUCACCUCCUGUCUCUCACCCCAGGUAUUACUUAGAAUUAUUAUCAUAUUUCCCUUCCUUUAAAGUAAGUAAGGGUGAUUGGUGACAAUAUGGAGAACUAUGAUUUUUCCAUUAACCUAAUAAUAAUUGGUAUUUAUUGAGUUCUGUUAAGCAUUUUACAUAUUAACUCACUUAAGCCUUUCAACAGCCUUGCAAAAUAGGUAUUAUUAUCCCCAUUUUACAGGCAAGAAAACUGAGGUUUAAGUAACUUGCCGAAGUGCCAUAUACAGGGCUCACAUUCAGUAUUGCAGUUGCAAAGCUCAUGAUCUAUAGUGCCAAGUUGCAAUAUUGUAGUCAAUGUCACAAUUAUUACCCCUUUUUAUAUUCCUUGAUAUUUUUCCAUGGCAAACAAUUAGCUAUUUCAUUUAAUAAUCACCUAAAACUUUUCAGUCUUCUGAUUAAAAUUACGCUGGAGUGAUAGAAUGUAUUUUCAUGAUAGAAAUUGGGAAAAAAAAUGGGGAAUGAAGUUUAUCAGCAUUUCAGACUUGUUUUUUUUUUUUUUUUUUGCAAGACUUUGAUGAGAUUGUUCACUUUUGUCUAUGUAAAAUCCCAAAUCCUUGAGAAUAAAAAAGGGGGAGGUUUAAGUCACUUGUUGCAAUGCCCUUUUUAAUAGAGGCAAUAAAUCUAAAGGCCAUAAAUUUAGAGUGACUUACAGAAGAUCGAACUUUGGAGUGUGGCAGAGUAAGGGAUGGAAACCGGGCCCUCCAGUUCACUAUCAGUAGCUUUUGCACUGGUCUGCCCUUCCUAAAUUAAGUAUGCACUUCAAUUUGAUGAGUGGAAACAGUCUAUCUGGGCAGUAACCAGGGAGCUUUGUGCCUAGUAGAUUGCUUCUGUUCUGCACUUCUUUGGUUUCCCACCUCAAUGUAAAAAAUAGCUAGCAAUGAAGUCCAGAAGUUGUCAAUGGUUCAUCCCCAGAAGAAUGCAUAAUGUCCAAAGUUGUAUGUGUAUGAUGUCUUCAAUGGUAUUAAGUUAUUUCAAAUUCUUAGUUCACCUACAUAAAUCAUUUCUAACAAGCAUCUUCUUAACCAACUUUAUGCACAGUGUAUGUUUGUAAGUGCUUCUGCACGAAUGUUUAUACAUGACUGUUUCCAUAGUACUUAUGUUUUUAAAAAUAUUCAGUCAUUUCCUACUAUAAUCCUCAUGUAUCCAUGUAACUGACUCAAAAAUACUUCAGCCACAGAAAGCUAAAACUGAGCAAAUCUCAUUCUUCUUUUCCAUCCCCUUUGCAUGUGGCUGGCAUUUAGUAAUGAUUAAUAAUAUGGCCAGCUGAAUAACAGAGGUUUGAGACACAAUUCUUUCUCAAAGGAGUCAGCUAAGCUGGGUCUACUUAUGGACAAACAUCUAAAUGUGUGGAAGUAUCUGAUAUUUGACAAUGGUAAAUUUCCACUUAGCUAGCUAGCAUUGUCAGACUUCAAUCUCCUCAUGGCUCUGGCCGUCCUGUUUUAAGCAUGAUAAUUGUUGGCCACAUCUCACAUAGUUCUCAUUGAGUGAGUUCAUAAAUAAACAGGGUUUUUUUUUUUUUUUAAAGAGCAGCCAAGCACAAAGUGUGACUUUGUUGACAUUUUAUGUGACUUUGUCAUAUGUUCCUAACCCCCAAUAAAAGCAAUGUUGCAUCAACUGUGAA
rnacentral:lncRNA from 1 species